AAAAACGGCAAACCGUCCGAAAGGGCGGGGCGCAAAGCCAUGGGGUCUAAAGCUGAAAAGCUAUGACAGCCCGGCCGCCA
rnacentral:ncRNA from 1 species